rnacentral:rRNA from 1 species
AGCCCUUCGGGGUGGAUUAGUGGCGAACGGGUGAGUAACACGUGGGCAAUCUGCCCUGCACUCUGGGACAAGCCCUGGAAACGGGGUCUAAUACCGGAUAUGACACGGGAUCGCAUGAUCUUGUGUGGAAAGCUCCGGCGGUGCAGGAUGAGCCCGCGGCCUAUCAGCUAGUUGGUGAGGUAAUGGCUCACCAAGGCGACGACGGGUAGCCGGCCUGAGAGGGCGACCGGCCACACUGGGACUGAGACACGGCCCAGACUCCUACGGGAGGCAGCAGUGGGGAAUAUUGCACAAUGGGCGAAAGCCUGAUGCAGCGACGCCGCGUGAGGGAUGACGGCCUUCGGGUUGUAAACCUCUUUCAGCAGGGAAGAAGCGAAAGUGACGGUACCUGCAGAAGAAGCGCCGGCUAACUACGUGCCAGCAGCCGCGGUAAUACGUAGGGCGCGAGCGUUGUCCGGAAUUAUUGGGCGUAAAGAGCUCGUAGGCGGCUUGUCACGUCGGUUGUGAAAGCCCGGGGCUUAACCCCGGGUCUGCAGUCGAUACGGGCAGGCUAGAGUUCGGUAGGGGAGAUCGGAAUUCCUGGUGUAGCGGUGAAAUGCGCAGAUAUCAGGAGGAACACCGGUGGCGAAGGCGGAUCUCUGGGCCGAUACUGACGCUGAGGAGCGAAAGCGUGGGGAGCGAACAGGAUUAGAUACCCUGGUAGUCCACGCCGUAAACGGUGGGCACUAGGUGUGGGCGACAUUCCACGUCGUCCGUGCCGCAGCUAACGCAUUAAGUGCCCCGCCUGGGGAGUACGGCCGCAAGGCUAAAACUC